CAACAGACCAUCUUCAAGAAAGACACAGCCUGGAGUCUGCAGCCACAAAGUCACACAUAUAAAGCAUGCAGAGUGGCAGUGGAGAUGCAUCAGCCCUUACCUGACGUACCACCCAACACCUGUGCCACCUGAGAUGCCCCAGAAGAAAAGCAGCAGAGUGGUGGCAGUGGAGAUGCAUCAGCCCUUACCUGACGUACCACCCAACACCUGUGCCACCUGAUAUGCCCCAGUAUGUUUUUCUCUCCUAUCUACUGGCAAGACCAUCUUCAAGACACAGCCUGGAGCCUGCAGCCACAAAGUUGGGCCCUGACAACAAAACCACACUGAUGAAAAUUCAGCAAGACCACUGGCAGCACCAACUAUCCCCCUGAUUUCAACAAGCGAACCCAACAUAAAUCAAUCUGCUGCUCAACAUAAUAAAUAAAUGUACAUUUUAUUCUA